ensembl:snoRNA SNORA70 Small nucleolar RNA SNORA70
CUGCAGCCAAUUACGCCGACUGAGUUCCUUUCCUCAUGGGGGCCCAGUGUGCAAUGGCUGCAAACAGCAGCUUCCCUGGUAGUGAUGCAGCCUGUUUGUUGUAUGGGUUGCUCUAAGGGACCUUGGAGACAGAC